CCCUUAGACGCUCUGGGCCGCACGCGCGCUACACUGACGAAGGCAACGAGCUUUCCUUUACCGAAAGGUACGGGUAAUCUUUUGAAACUUCGUCGUGCUGGGGAUAGAUCCUUGCAAUUAUUGAUCUUAAACGAGGAAUUCCUAGUAAGCGCAAGUCAUCAACUUGCGUUGAUUACGUCCCUGCCCUUUGUACACACCGCCCGUCGCUACUACCGAUUGAAUGGUUUAGUGAGGCCUUCGGAUCCGCGACUCGUUUUGUGGAGAAGUUGGACAAACUCAGUCAUUUAGAGGAAGUAAAAGUCGUAACA
rnacentral:rRNA from 1 species